CAAACUGACAGCCCUGGAGAAAGCCACAAAACACAAAGCAUAGGCAGCGGUAGUACAGGCUUUCUCCACACUGCUCCAUUAAUGUUACUCAAACCCUGACCUGAAAGACUCAGGUAAAAGGGUGGACAAUUUGUCCUUUGCUGUG
rnacentral:sRNA from 1 species